rnacentral:rRNA from 1 species
CAUGGAGUUUGAUCCUGGCUCAGAUUGAACGCUGGCGGCAUGCCUUACACAUGCAAGUCGAACGGUAACAGGUCUUCGGAUGCUGACGAGUGGCGAACGGGUGAGUAAUACAUCGGAACGUGCCCGAGAGUGGGGAUAACGGAGCGAAAGCUUUGCUAAUACCGCAUACGAUCUACGGAUGAAAGCAGGGACCGCAAGGCCUUGCGCUCAUGGAGCGGCCGAUGGCAGAUUAGGUAGUUGGUGGGGUAAAGGCUCACCAAGCCAACGAUCUGUAGCUGGUCUGAGAGGACGACCAGCCACACUGGAACUGAGACACGGUCCAGACUCCGUACGGGAGGCAGCAGUGGGGGAAUUUGGACAAUGGACGCAAGUCUGAUCCAGCCAUUCCGCGUGCAGGA